UUUAAUUCCCAAUUUAUGAUUAAUUAGUAAAGUUAUCCGCGCAUUGCGGCGGGCAGAUACUAUAAGAGACAGAAGAUUGACAAACUAAAAUAUUUUAAAAUUUUUUCACGUGUCAUGAGAAAUCAAUAAAUACAAAUAAAAGAUAUGAAACAGAUAUAGCAAAAUUUAUAAUUUCAGCAAAUAAAUUACACGCAAUAAUAAUAAAAAAAAACAGCAAUAGAACACUAUUCCAUACGCAUCUUAAUUGUGUUGCUCAUAUCGGAAAGGCGAAUCUUGAUCUCCACUUCUCAUUCACCGCCAUUGUCAGCGAUCUCCACUUCUCAUUCACCGCCAUUGUCAGCGUCGAGUUCCUGUUUAAUUACGGCAAUACAUAUCUUAUUUUAUUUGUUUUUUUUAUAAUAUUGAUUUGUUUAGAUGACAAUGAAUAUGAACAUAUUAAUUAAGAAAUAGACACGUAGAAAAACGAAACAUCACGCGGGGAUAAAAGAUAAUAAAUUUGAUCAUUAAGAAUUAGGAAGAAAGCAAGAAUGAGAGAAGAAGGUAAGGACGAAGGAGACUUUGCAAUGUGGCAAAGUUUAUGAAGAAGAAUGUAUAGGUAUAAAUAGAUAGAUUGACUACGAAGUGAAGCUUCCGUAAAUGCUCUGAACUGUAAAAGUUGUCAACAUUAAUGAAUCAUGAAAAUGUCCAUAGAAAAGUAUUCAGGCUAGCAAUUAAACCAAGCUGCAUCCGAAUGCCAUGAACUUACAUCGGGUUCGGGUUAAGAUCAAUUUCGUCUCGAGUUUAAAUGAGACGAGCUUGAGAGAAACGGGCUUGAACUGCACUACUAGUUUGGUCCAUGCACAGCGCACUCUUGUGGGCUUCAGCCCAAAUUUCGUAGCCCAAUAAAUAAAGCCCAAAUAUCCUGAGUCUAGACCAAAUUUGCCCACGUCAAAUAUCGUGCACGACUAAUUCAUCAAGUCCGUUCGAUCUGAGCAAACCAAGCUCGACCCCGGUCCAAUAAACCCAACUUUUGGGAUCCCGUCUAAAUUCAUAAUUCGGCAUGGUGGGAUUCGAAUUUAAGAUCUCAUGUUUUAAUAUAUUAUUUAUAACAACCCUAAUUCUCCCAAGUUUAAGAUAUCAGAGAAUGUAAUUUUAUAUUAUAUAUUCAAAUAUACUUUACUCCCACAAAUUGUAUUCUACAUAGCGUGAAUGAGAUCCAAUGUCAUCAUCUAUCAUAACUUGGAAUUCUAAUUAAUUCAUCGUAAUCUAUGCACUUAAUGACAAUUUAGAAAACUCUUUACAGAUGUGAUCUUAGUCAUAUAUAUAUAUAUAUAAGAACUGUCAUGGACAUAGAUUCGAGGCACCAAUUAAACAAAAUUGUUAGGAACAUUUCCUUAAAUUUAUUUAAUAUUUAGCUGGUCGAUAAUAUUUUAAUUUUAAAAUUUAAACUAAUUAUUUUACUAAAUUUAUAAUGGCAAGAAUUUCAUAAAAUAUACUCACUAUAUUUAUAAAAAUAAACAACGUAUUGAAUUUUUAAGUCAAAAUAGUGUUGAUCAACUCGAACUAGAUAAAUGAAAAGUUGGAUAGUAAAAUCAAAAUGUUUAAAAAGAUAAUAAAAUUAAAAUAUUGGAAAUUAUGGUAGCUAACAAAAAAAUAUCCAUAGUUUUGAUAGGUUUUAUACCCUUUUACUAUAAAAGAAACUUUCGGCCAAAAUUCGCUUAUGCAACCCUGCAAUAAUACACAAUAUACCAGUAAAAUAAUUGUUUGAUACAAAACUGUAACACCUCAAGUGACAUCCAAGAUGCAAAUUAGCUAGUUUAGGCACGACUUAAUUGAUAUAAAUAUAGCAAUAGUUAACCAAACAUUAUCAAAAGAAAUAUGAUAUAAAUAGCUUUAUGCAUAAAUUUGUGGUUGUGGUAAUAAAUGAUAUUCAAGGGAGAAAGAGAUAUAAAAAAUAUGAGGUACUCUUAUCCCCUUUAUACUCAAACGCUAAUUUUUUACCUGAGAAUAGUAGUUUUCGGUUAUCCCCACCAACACCUCCAUUUUCUAUAUAAAACUAUCUAAAAUUGUUCUUAUCUCCAGGAAUCAUAGAAGUUAGGACAAUAAGGAUGAAGGAAUUUGAGCGCUUAUGUAGCUAAUAACUCUGCCACCUUCAUACUUGAUUUAGGUGCAUAGCAGCCUUGUGGCGCUGCCCUUUCAGGUAUAUCCCAUACAUCGAUCCAAUUUUCAAUCAAACACUAUUUUUUUUAUUCCCAUACUUGUAUCUAUACCUGUAAUAGCUAGUUCUUACUUAUAUCCGAACCAAACGGUACCUUACAAUAUUGCGAAUGAUAAAUUUGGAGGGAAAAAAAGAAACAUAGUAUAGUUAUAUAUCAGACGAUCAUAGAAAUAUUUAUUCAAGUAAAAGCUGGUUAUACUUGUUACUAUCCAAAUAAUGCUGACUUUUGAAAAAAAAAAAUACAUACAUAAAAGUAAACUUAUAAAAGAGAAAAAAAAAAAAAAGAAGCUCAUUCUUUCUGACAUUUCUAAACAAUUCAUCUAUGAGACAAAGCUCUUGUGUGGCCCGCAGCUAAUUGCCUUCGUGCUCAUAAAUUACCUACUUCUUUUAAUAAAAUUUUAUUUUUAAAAAAAUUAAUUUACUUAUUAAUUAAAAAGCUGGAAUAAAAUUUUAAGUUUCUAAACCAAUUGAUUGAAAGUAUAAUAUAUAAAAAUUUCGACUAUAUAUAAAACAAUCUAUUAAAUCCGAAUUAGUCAUAAUAAUUUUUUUAGAAAAAUAAUUGCCAAAUUUUUCUUUACUAUGCACGGGAAACUCCCUUCAUCUCACCGUGCUCGCGUGUGCCAUCUUCACAUGCAGCUAGGGAUGCAAACGGGGCGGAUCCGGGGGCUGAAGAGUUCUCCCACCUCCCGCUUCAUUUUUUAUCGGGGCGGGGCGGAUUCGGGACGGAUUACUUUUUAUUUUAUUUUUGGCUCCCACUUACCGCUCCAUUCGGGACGGAUUGGGGCGGGAGCCGGAUUUUUGACGGAUCGGGACGGAUUGAAGGAAGAAAAGAGUUUUCCACCUCCCGCUCCAUUUACUUGGCGGAUCGGGACGGAUUCGGAACGGAUUAUAUUUUUUUAUAUUUUUUAUUUUCACUUACCACCCCAUUCGAGAUGGAUCGGGACGGAGCUCCACCAACCCGGAUCCAUUUGCAUCCCAACGUGCCGCCGACUCCAAAUGGUCUCUCUGCUCUCCUCACUUCAAAUCCACACACUCCUACCCCAAAAAAUAAAAAAAAUAAAAAGAAUACAAAAAUACAAAAAAGAGAGCAAACAUUAACAGAAACACUCACACAGAGGAUGUGGGUUGCAGCAAACUGAGCCACCUUCGCCUCGGCGAUUCCAUCCUUCCGCAUCCGAUCCAUCCCCGUUGCUCAAUGCUCCUCCUCCUCCUCCUCCUCCUCCUCCUCUCCGUCAUCGUCGCUGCAG
rnacentral:lncRNA from 1 species